GGCAGGAUGGCCGAGUGGUCUAAGGCGUUCGACUCGAAUCCGCAUAGGAUCGGUUAUCGAAUCUCUUCGGAGGCAUGGGUUCAAAUCCCAUUCCUGUCG